rnacentral:rRNA from 1 species
AGUGAACGCUGGCGGUAGGCCUAACACAUGCAAGUCGAACGGCAGCACAGUAAGAGCUUGCUCUUACGGGUGGCGAGUGGCGGACGGGUGAGGAAUACAUCGGAAUCUACUUUUUCGUGGGGGAUAACGUAGGGAAACUUAAGAUAAUACCGCAUACGACCUACGGGUGAAAGCAGGGGAUAUUCGGACCUUGCGCGAUUGAAUGAGCCGAUGUCGGAUUAGCUAGUUGGCGGGGUAAAGGCCCACCAAGGCGACGAUCCGUAGCUGGUCUGAGAGGAUGAUCAGCCACACUGGAACUGAGACACGGUCCAGACUCCUGCGGGAGGCAGCAGUGGGGAAUAGUGGGCAAUGGGCGCAAGCCUUAUCCAGCCAUACCGCGUGGGUUGAGAAGGCCUUCGGGUUGUAAAGCCCUUUUGUUGGGAAAGAAAAGCAGCAGGUUAAUACCCCGCUGUUCUGACGGUACCCAAUGAAUAAGCACCGGCUAACUUCGUG